ACGUAGGGUGCGAGCGUUAAUCGGAAUUACUGGGCGUAAAGUGUGCGCAGGCGGCACCGCAAGUCGAGUGUGAAAGCCCCGGGCUUAACUUGGGAAUUGCGCUCGAAACUAUGGUGCUGGAGUGUGGCAGAGGAAGGUGGAAUUCCAGGUGUAGCGGUGAAAUGCGUAGAGAUCUGGAGGAACACCGAUGGCGAAGGCAGCCUUCUGGGCCAACACUGACGCUCAUGCACGAAAGCGUGGGGAGCAAACAGGA
rnacentral:rRNA from 1 species